rnacentral:rRNA from 1 species
UGGGUAACCUGCCUCAAAGAGGGGAAUAGCCUCCCGAAAGGGAGAUUAAUACCGCAUAAUAUGUUUAAGUCGCAUGACUUUAACAUCAAAGGAUUUUCUUUUAGAAAUUCCACUUUGAGAUGGACCCGCGGCGCAUUAGCUAGUUGGUGAGGUAACGGCUCACCAAGGCAACGAUGCGUAGCCGACCUGAGAGGGUGAGUNGCCGA